rnacentral:rRNA from 1 species
UACGGGGGGGGCAAGCGUUGUUCGGAAUUACUGGGCGUAAAGGGCUCGUAGGUGGCCAACUAAGUCAGACGUGAAAUCCCUCAGCUUAACUGGGGAACUGCGUCUGAUACUGGAUGGCUUGAGUUUGGGAGAGGGAUGCGGAAUUCCAGGUGUAGCGGUGAAAUGCGUAGAUAUCUGGAGGAAUACCGGUGGCGAAGGCGGCAUCCUGGACCGGCAUUGACGCUGAGGAGCGAAAGCUAGGGGAGCAAACGGG